rnacentral:piRNA from 1 species
UAGAUUACAUGAUGACAUCUAUUGAGU